rnacentral:rRNA from 1 species
CUUGGUCAUUUAGAGGAAGUAAAAGUCGUAACAAGGUCUCCGUUGGUGAACCAGCGGAGGGAUCAUUACUGAGUUUACGCUCUAUAACCCUUUGUGAACAUACCUAUAACUGUUGCUUCGGCGGGUAGGUUCUCCGCGACCCUCCCGGCCUCCCGCCUCCGGGCGGGUCGGCGCCCGCCGGAGGAUAACCAAACUCUGAUUUAACGACGUUUCUUCUGAGUGGUACAAGCAAAUAAUCAAAACUUUUAACAACGGAUCUCUUGGUUCUGGCAUCGAUGAAGAACGCAGCGAAAUGCGAUAAGUAAUGUGAAUUGCAGAAUUCAGUGAAUCAUCGAAUCUUUGAACGCACAUUGCGCCCGCCAGCAUUCUGGCGGGCAUGCCUGUUCGAGCGUCAUUUCAACCCUCAAGCUCUGCUUGGUGUUGGGGCCCUACAGCUGAUGUAGGCCCUCAAAGGUAGUGGCGGACCCUCCCGGAGCCUCCUUUGCGUAGUAACUUUACGUCUCGCACUGGGAUCCGGAGGGACUCUUGCCGUAAAACCCCCCAAUUUUCCAAAGGUUGACCUCGGAUCAGGUAGGAAUACCCGCUGAACUUAAGCAUAUCAAUAAGCGGAGGA